UCCGGCUUGACACCGGCAGUCCCUCUAGAGUGCCCAACUGAAUGCUGGCAACUAAAGGCGGGGGUUGCGCUCGUUGCGGGACUUAACCCAACAUCUCACGACACGAGCUGACGACAGCCAUGCACCACCUGUGAUCCUGCCCCGAAGGGAAGCCGUGUUUCCACGGCGGUCAGGAACAUGUCAAACCCAGGUAAGGUUCUUCGCGUUGCGUCGAAUUGAACCACAUGCUCCGCUGCUUGUGCGGGUCCCCGUCAAUUCCUUUGAGUUUUAGCCUUGCGGCCGUACUCCCCAGGCGGGGCACUUACUGCGUUAGCGACGGCACUCAGAGGGUCGCUCCCCCAAGCACCUAGUGCCCAUCGUUUACGGCGUGGACUAC
rnacentral:misc_RNA from 1 species